CCCCUCGUAGCUAAAUUGGUUAUAGCCCUCUGCUUAUAACGGAGAGGCCCUCACAAGGUAUAUGAAUGUUCGAUCCAUUCCGGGGGGA
rnacentral:tRNA from 1 species